rnacentral:rRNA from 1 species
AGAGUUUGAUCAUGGCUCAGAUUGAACGCUGGCGGCAGGCCUAACACAUGCAAGUCGAACGGUAACAGGAAGCAGCUUGCUGCUUUGCUGACGAGUGGCGGACGGGUGAGUAAUGUCUGGGAAACUGCCUGAUGGAGGGGGAUAACUACUGGAAACGGUGGCUAAUACCGCAUAACGUCGCAAGACCAAAGAGGGGGACCUUCGGGCCUCUUGCCAUCAGAUGUGCCCAGAUGGGAUUAGCUUGUUGGUGAGGUAACGGCUCACCAAGGCGACGAUCCCUAGCUGGUCUGAGAGGAUGACCAGCCACACUGGAACUGAGACACGGUCCAGACUCCUACGGGAGGCAGCAGUGGGGAAUAUUGCACAAUGGGCGCAAGCCUGAUGCAGCCAUGCCGCGUGUAUGAAGAAGGCCUUCGGGUUGUAAAGUACUUUCAGCGGGGAGGAAGGUGUUGCGGUUAAUAACCGCAGCAAUUGACGUUACCCGCAGAAGAAGCACCGGCUAACUCCGUGCCAGCAGCCGCGGUAAUACGGAGGGUGCAAGCGUUAAUCGGAAUUACUGGGCGUAAAGCGCACGCAGGCGGUCUGUCAAGUCGGAUGUGAAAUCCCCGGGCUCAACCUGGGAACUGCAUUCGAAACUGGCAGGCUUGAGUCUUGUAGAGGGGGGUAGAAUUCCAGGUGUAGCGGUGAAAUGCGUAGAGAUCUGGAGGAAUACCGGUGGCGAAGGCGGCCCCCUGGACAAAGACUGACGCUCAGGUGCGAAAGCGUGGGGAGCAAACAGGAUUAGAUACCCUGGUAGUCCACGCCGUAAACGAUGUCUACUUGGAGGUUGUGCCCUUGAGGCGUGGCUUCCGGAGCUAACGCGUUAAGUAGACCGCCUGGGGAGUACGGCCGCAAGGUUAAAACUCAAAUGAAUUGACGGGGGCCCGCACAAGCGGUGGAGCAUGUGGUUUAAUUCGAUGCAACGCGAAGAACCUUACCUGGUCUUGACAUCCACAGAAGAAUCCAGAGAUGGAUUUGUGCCUUCGGGAACUGUGAGACAGGUGCUGCAUGGCUGUCGUCAGCUCGUGUUGUGAAAUGUUGGGUUAAGUCCCGCAACGAGCGCAACCCUUAUCCUUUGUUGCCAGCGGUCCGGCCGGGAACUCAAAGGAGACUGCCAGUGAUAAACUGGAGGAAGGUGGGGAUGACGUCAAGUCAUCAUGGCCCUUACGACCAGGGCUACACACGUGCUACAAUGGCGCAUACAAAGAGAAGCGACCUCGCGAGAGCAAGCGGACCUCAUAAAGUGCGUCGUAGUCCGGAUUGGAGUCUGCAACUCGACUCCAUGAAGUCGGAAUCGCUAGUAAUCGUGGAUCAGAAUGCCACGGUGAAUACGUUCCCGGGCCUUGUACACACCGCCCGUCACACCAUGGGAGUGGGUUGCAAAAGAAGUAGGUAGCUUAACCUUCGGGAGGGCGCUUACCACUUUGUGAUUCAUGACUGGGGUGAAGUCGUAACAAGGUAACCGUAGGGGAACCUGCGGUUG